rnacentral:rRNA from 1 species
CUACGAGCGGCUGCAGUGGGGAAUAUUGCACAAUGGGCGCAAGCCUGAUGCAGCCAUGCCGCGUGUAUGAAGAAGGCCUUCGGGUUGUAAAGUACUUUCAGCGGGGAGGAAGGGAGUAAAGUUAAUACCUUUGCUCAUUGACGUUACCCGCAGAAGAAGCACCGGCUAACUCCGUGCCAGCAGCCGCGGUAAUACGGAGGGUGCAAGCGUUAAUCGGAAUUACUGGGCGUAAAGCGCACGCAGGCGGUUUGUUAAGUCAGAUGUGAAAUCCCCGGGCUCAACCUGGGAACUGCAUCUGAUACUGGCAAGCUUGAGUCUCGUAGAGGGGGGUAGAAUUCCAGGUGUAGCGGUGAAAUGCGUAGAGAUCUGGAGGAAUACCGGUGGUGAAGGCGGCCCCCUGGACGAAGACUGACGCUCAGGUGCGAAAGCGUGGGGAGCAAACAGGAUUAGAUACCCCGGUAGUC